rnacentral:lncRNA from 1 species
UGUGGUUAGAAUUGAACCAAUUUAAUUGUGGGUUUUUUCUUUUUUGUGCCCCAGCAAGUCUUCCUCAGUGAAUUCCUGGGUUCUCCAGUGGUGAAACAGACAGAAGGAGAAAGCACUAGGACAUCACAGAAGGAUGUGGACACUGAGCCCCAGAAACAAGAUCCAGUAGAAAGAACCAGUUGUGAUGUUGAGUCUGCUAGACAGGUUCUUGGAGCAAGAGUGAAGAGAUUGGGUCCCAUCAUUGGUACACUUUAGGUAAGUCACCACUCUUCCCUCCAUUCUCUUCUAUACAACAGGAUAACAGUACCCAAUGCUUCCGACCACCCAGGAGUUUAGGUAUGAACCCAUGUGGGAAAGCAAUAUGUGAUUGUAGGUGGGAGGGAAGGACCAGUGUACUACAUUAACAGAUACACCC